GGCCCUAUGGCGCCAUGGAUAAGGCGUCUGACUACGGAUUAAAAGACUCCAGGUUCGAAUCCUGGAGGGCUCG